CUGUUUGGUAUUGAAGUCCUAUUAAAAACUAAAGAUGUUUCUUCUUUGUUUUACAGGACAGACCCAGUGCCUUCAAGGAAAUCACCUCACGCUGCCUCAGCAGGCAUUCUCUGUCAGUCCAGCUUUGGGUUCCCAUCUCCAGGCUAAAGCUGCAAAACCAGCUACCUCCAAGUUUACGGAACUCUUGAGGGACGUUUGGGCAGUUCUCCAGCCUCGGUCAGCAAGUGCCAGCCCGAGUGCAGGAUUUGCCCAUCUAUCCUGCACUUCAGGGCAGCGCCGAGUUCCCGGCAGGCUCUCGCCCUCUGCAAGCAGGCUGCUGUUGGUAUAGUGAAGUUGGGAGGGUGGUGGGAAGCCUGGCUGUAGACAGGACACAGAUACCUCCUGGGGAUCCCAGCCUGGCCACGUUCUCUCUUGGCAGUUCUGCACUCCUUUCUACUCCUCCAUCGACAGGGACUGGUUAUGCUGAGGAGCAGCCGUGUCUGCGGGUACGUCUUGAGUCUGUGCGUGCGUGAGCAUGCGUGCGCCUAGAAGAGGAGUGACACUCAGCAGGCCACGCUGCCUUGAGGGCUGCUGCCCGUUUAUUUAUCUACCCUUUACACAGCCUCAAAGCAGCAACGCAAAUUUGGGGUUUUCACACGGAGCCCAGAAUACUCGCUUAAACAAAAUGCUGCCGACGUUGUGCGUUGCAGACAGUGAAUCUGUGUGUUAACGUCUCGGCUGCUGGGUUUAACAGGAGGUUUGUCUCCCCUGCUCCUGCACACAAGCCAGCAUUUUAGCAUAGGGCUUUCCCCACAUCUUGCUUUGAACAUAUCCAAAGGCCGAAUACACUGCAGACAGCUGUAGUACCCUGCCCUGCCCUAACCUCUGCCGUGACCUAGAAGAACCACGCUGUCUGCUCCGUGAAAGGAGUUGAUUCAGCCCUUCAUGCCAGAUCAGCAGUCAGGCCCCUCCACAACACAAGCUACCGGUCGUGACAAAUUACAUGGGUUGGCUUCAGAAGGGAGCUGAGGACUGACCCGGCUCGCCUCACCCGCAGGCUUUGAAGCAGCACUUGAACCACACCUCUGGCAGGAGGGAGACUCUUUGUCUGCUGAGCCAGCCGCGCGCGUCCCGCCGAACGGAGCAAAUUCGGACCGGAGAGAUCGCUGGACUUAUUCUGUAAUUAGAAGGAAGAUUUCAGCUAAUCUCUCUCUAAAUGAGGGGCUAAUUCCUAGAGCAGAAACUUGUCAGCUGCUUGUUAACAGCUUCUCGGACCCACACUCACGUGGCCUUCAUUAUUUUUAGGAGCAUUUUCUGUUGUACGUUUUUGGUUUGGAACAGGAGCAUAA
rnacentral:lncRNA from 1 species